rnacentral:lncRNA from 1 species
CUGCCUCCUGGGUUCAAGCAAUUCUUCUGCCUCAGCCUCCCGAGUAGCUGAGACUACAGGCACGUGCCACCACACCUGGCUAAUUUUUGUGUUUUUAGUAGAGACAGGGUUUCACCAUGUUGGCCAGGAUGGUCUCAGUCUUCUGGCCUCAUGAUCCCCCAGCUUUGCCCUCCCAAAGUGCUGGGAUUACAAGUGUGAGCCACCAUGCCUGGCCUCUCUGCCCCAUUUCUAAUAUGUGUUAUUUUUCCAGAGCAUACGAAUGAGGAAUAAAUCACAAGAGUGUUUUUUUUGUUGUUUAUUUUAUUGCUUCUCUCUCUUCAUUUAAAUAGGUGAAAAUUUGCCAUUCAGCAGUGAUUCAUAGGGCGGUAUGUGGAGGUGGAGGUACAUUAUUAUCUGUAUUAGGUAUGUGAUAAUAUUUGUAUUCCCAGAAGUAGUGGAAACAUCACGAAUUUGUAGUUUGUCAUAUAAUAGGUCAAAAUCUUUUUGAAAUCAGAGAUAAAAUUCAAAUUGCUUAAUAAAAUAAAGUUUUUAUGAUUUACAGGGCUCUUAAAACACUGAAACCGGGCUAAUCAUGAAGGCCAAUUCAAGGUGCUGACAGCCUUCCUGGAUGGGUAUGAAGAAAGAUUGUGUUAAGCAUAUUCACUGUUUAGUUUUAAACACAGAUUCUGCUGAAGUGGUUGGAAAAGUGCUUGGAAGCAGUUUACAUUACUGAGUAGGUCCAGCAUAUUCCCUGUGCUCUCUGUCCACUGGCUCUGGAGGUAGGUAGAAUGGGCAGGGACCUUCUAGGUAUCCUUUGAACAAUGUCAGUAACCCCCAACUUCCCUCAACAACGAUGCCCCAGCAGUUUUCUUCCUCCUACAAGAAUGAGACUUAUUCCUUGAUCUAUGCUAGUUUUAUCAUCUCAAGGGUCCUCUUUUGUGCUGCAAAUGUCUUGGGUAGGGUAAUAAUUCACAGUCAUGAACAUCUUCACAGGAUUCCAUAAAGGGACAAAGGAAUGGCAUUUGUAAGAGUAGAAGGGGCUCUUUUGUAUUACUUUGCAGUCUCACCUUUUCAGUUGUCACUGUUUCCCUCACUUCAUUCUCUGCAAUGUGGUCAAUACCCAAGCAAGAGGCCUUACCUCCAAAGGAUGGAGAAACAUAAAAAGUGACAAUAUGGAAGAUGAAUAUAAGAAAGAGAACAGAAAUACAAUUAACCUCUUUCUUUUGGUGAUUGGGACCAGUAAUGACUUGAAGCCUAUAAUUAAGAUAACUUUAAACAAAUUUUUGUGACACUCAGAUCCACAAAGAUUUAAUAGGGGAACAAAGUAGCCUUUGGAUGGUUCAGUGCCCUGAGGCCUUGGUUCUCAGGGGAAUCCUGGUAGAAUAUACUAGUGAAAGGUCACUCCCCACUUACUACCAGUGGCCUAACUGCAAUCCUGUACACAGAGUCAACCUUAAGGCAGAGAUGUAGUAAGGAAGGGGAUUUCAAAGGGACCCUUUGUGAGUGUCCCUGAUCUGCCUGUCACUAGGAGGCUGGAGGGCCAAAGGAGUAGGCUGAGAGAUUGAGUACCAGAAGUCCUAGAUGCAGGGAUGCUUCCUCCAGGUGCCACUGCAGAGGUCUGAUGACCUGCCUGCUUCUAUAGAUACUGCAACACUGUUUUGUCUUCCAUCAUGAAGGUCACUCAGAUUACACAGGUACUGCAAUAAGCAGUUCUGAGCAUCAAAGAGCCUAAAAUGAAAAGUAUGAAAUCUGUUGGGACCAGGUAUGGGAUGGACAAAGGUCAGUCAGAACACAUACCCAGUGAAAUGAAGUAAAAUGAAAGGCCAUGAUGAUCUCAAACUAUUUAAUGACAUGGGGAAAUGAUCUCAUCUGAACAGUAAAGAAUAAAAGGAGUCUACAAAGCCUUCAAAACUUGGUGAGGGCAAUCAAAGUCCCUCUAUCUUACCACCACUGAAGCUCAUCACGGACCCCAUACUGAAAGUACCUGGACUUUAUGUGCAUGAACAAUCCCUGACUUUAUGAUGAUGGAGAAGGUGGUUCAGGGAAGGCUGCCUGGCUUGAUUCUGUAGCUGCCGGCCCAGAACUGAGCUCCUUCUCUUCCCCGUACACAGCUGCUUUUGGCCCUCUUGACGGUUGUACCACCUUCUUUCACUUGUCCCCAGUCCUCUUCAUACCCACUCUCUUACUGGUCCUUAACAGAUGGUCACCAAAUUCAUUCUGCCCCCUGACUCUCACUUCAGUGGGUCUCUCUUUUCCAACCCUGAGGCAGUACCCCGAUUCUAAUGCCUGUCCCCUUUAGCCCACUGCUUGCAGAGGCCCCGCCAUAGUGCCCAGCUGAUCCUGGAACCUAUUUUUCUCUCCCUGAUGUGGCUGUUGCUGUGUCUUAGGCUGCUGAGAGCAUAUUGUCACAUGAUCAAAAAGAGAACAUUUAGGAUUUCACAACCCUGAAAUUAUAGUAAGCCUGUUAAUUUGGGUCUUGGGCUAAAGACUGCAAUAGUACCCACUCUGCAACCUGAGUGGAGGACUGCAUAUUUACUCACAUUAGAAGCAAACAAAGUUUUGGUAAGAUCAUUAGGAUAGAUUCCUAAAACUAAUGUAUAUAUCAAAGGCCAUGCAAUUUUAACUGUUUGUUAAAAAUCUCACUCCAGAAAGAUUGUUUUCAAAUUAUAUUCUCAUGAGUAAUGAGAGGGAAUUUUUUUUGCCUCUAUCAUUACUAAAACUUUAAUUUCAAUAAAGAUAAUAUUCCCAAAAAUAAAUACUUUUUCCCACAAUAAAAUUCCUUUUUUUGGGUCCUGUUUCACCUCUAUCACCAAAAAGGUAGGCUUUUACAAAAUGUUUACUUUCUCCCUCUCUUUUGCCCUACCAUAAUUGAAACAAUUGGAAUACUUUUAAUUCUACUUUCACACCCUACUCUCAUCCCCCAAACCAUGGGGCUGGUGGAGAUAGUUGAUGUCUGAAGGUAUAAAAGUAAUACAGCUAAGGAUUUUUUUAAAAAAUCAUUUUUAGGCCUCUAUAGGGAGCAAUAUUUAACUUAUAAUAUGAAAGCCUAUUAAUCAGCUUUCAGAUAUUGAGCAUUAAAUGACAUUUUUAGGGAUGAAGACAACAGCAAAGUUGAAUUUAGACCUUGUCAAAAUUUAAGGAGGUCUCCAACAUUAAGGUGUUCCCAACUCCCCAAAAGAAUAUAAGUAUAUUCAAAUAAUGAGUUAGCAAAGUUACCAAGUACAAUGGUGAAAGAAAAAAAAAGAAUACCUGCCCAUAAGAUGUUGUGAAAAAAUACGAGGAUCAAACAUAAAAAAAAAAAUUCAGAUGUAACCACCCACAAAUUUGGGGGCCACAUUCACAUUCAGCAGGAAAUCUUAAGGAGGAGAAUUUAUUCUAAAGUGGUUCUGGGCUGGUUGUGUAGAGAAUAUAAGGUUAAAGGAUAUGUACAUUCAAAUUGACUUUCAACUUAAAAGAUUGCCUACAAUCCUUCCAAAGGCUCCACUGCUCCCAGUUUGAUCUGCCUUCAUGGAAUCACAGAGAUAGCCUAUGUUGGAAGCCAAAGCUGUGUAAUACCCUGACUAUAAUCAUCAUUCUCAGUGCUUUCCUUUACUGUUAUUACCUGAGUGGGAAUAUUACCCUGGCUGAAUUUGGAGUCCCUCUCUCACCAACUGUCCAGCCAUUUCCAAAGUGAGUUUAAUGAGUAUUCUUAUAUCUCUAGUGUUAGCAGAAGACUAGACAACAGAGUGCAUUGAACAGGACUCUCCUGGGCAACGCUGGAACCUCAGACCAGCAUGGGUCAUUUGAACCCAUUCAAUGAAUUAGCGUCUACACAAUGUAUGUAAUCAAGGCCAUCAAGAUGAGAGUAAGGAACUUGCCAUCCAGAAUCUGUGGCUUUUUGUCACAGGACUACAGAACCAACCUCCUUUUGUCUCCAAGCAUGAAGAGCCAGUAUCUGAGAAUUAAAGUCCUCCAGAGAGUAGACUUUAGCUAAUAAUUGGUAGAUAUAUAGUUAUAAGUAUUCCAGCUCUGUUGUUCUGUUUGAGACAACUGUGAUUUGUGACCUGUAUUGUCUCCAGUGUCCCCCUAUUGGAUUGUGCCAAAGUGAUCCUAAAUGGUACCUUGGUUGAUAUCAAAAUAUUGUUCGGCCUUCUUCCUCUCCCUGUUGCAUGGUCCCACUCCCUGGUCACUAUAUUUUUACUUGGACCACUUCCUAAUAUAUCACUUUCCGAUGAGUCCUCAAUCAGAGUCAGCUUAUGGGGAACCCAAUCUAAAGGCACAGCCAAGUUGUUUUCCAAAAUAUUUCUUUUACUUUACACUCUUGCCCUCAAUGUUUGUGGUCCCAUUUCCUCACUAGUAUUUGGUACCAUCGGUCUAACUUUUUGUCAAGUGUGUUGCUUUAAUUACUUUGUAUUGACUAAAUUUAUAUGUUAACUAUGCAUAUUAACUUUUUGGAGUGAUCACUAAAAUAAUGUAAAUAGAAUGUAUAACUUCUUAAUGAGUAGAAAAAAGUAAUGAAUUAAUACAAGGAACUUAGAACGUUUUAAUUACAAAUAAUUGCCUCCCAGGGUAAAUGUUCUUCUUCUCAUUACUUUAGCUCUGUUUUUUCAUCUUCAAAUUAGACAUUUAUGCUAUUGUUUGUUUAGAUUUAGCCAUGUAUUUGCCAUUUUCUUUGCCAGCAUUCCAGACAUUUAUACUAGUACAUUUUCCUUCUUCUAAAGUAUAUCCUAUAGAUAUACUCCUUUAAUAAUGGUCUAUUAGGGAAACUGUGAUGUCUUUCAUUUUCUGAAAAGUUAUUUUAUCCUCAUUCUUUUAAAAUUAUUCUUGUUGAGUCUCUUUGACUUGUGGAACCAUUCAUAUCUCUUUUUUUCUAUAUAAUAUUGUAUUAUGUACCACCAAAACCUUAGUGAUGCAAUAGUUCUUAAAUGACAAUUUCACUUUUUUGUCCUAAAUUUUUCCCGUUAAUCCAUCGUCAUCAGUUUGGCAAGUUUUGAUACAGGUGCUUUUAAUGUUUGCAUGUAAGCAGGCAGUAACUAUUAUGUCACAGCAGCCCCUGGGCCAACAACAAUUCAUAAUUUUGAUUGAUUGUAAUAAACACCUUGAUAUAAGAGAUAUUAAAAAGUGACAAAUUUGAAUAGAAUUGAUGGAAACAGCAUUAUUCUGUAGUCUUUUAGCUUCCAUUUUUGCUAUUAAAAAAUUAUUUGUCAGCCUAAUUUUGUGUUUCCUCUUUAGUUGUUUGAAAGAUCUCUUUGUGUUUGGUGUUCUGUAACUUUUCUACUGCUUAUCUAAAUAUACAAUCCUUUUUCUUUUUCUGAUAUUAAAAAAACUGAGAUAUGUUACAUCCAGCAAAGGAUAAAAAUCUUAAGUGUAUAACUAGAUGAACAUUUACAUAUGUAUACAUCAGUAUAACACCACUCAGAUCAAUGUAUAGAACAUUUCCAGCAUUCAAAAGGACUCUCAUGCCCCCUCUCAGGCAGGAGCCUCUUAUGUAUAAACAUUCUUCUGACCUUUAUUACCAAAGAUAAACUUUACCUGUUUUUGAACUGCUUGUAAAUGAAAUUAUACAGAAUUUAUGCUGUAUGUCUGUGAGAUUCAUCUAUGUUGUGUGUUUCAAGUGUUCAC